UACGUAGGGUCCGAGCGUUGUCCGGAGUUACUGGGCGUAAAGCGCGCGCAGGCGGCGGUGCUGGCCCGGCGUGAAAGCCCCCGGCUCAACCGGGGAGAGUCGUCGGGGACCGCACCGCUUGAGGGCGGUAGGGGCUGGUGGAAUGCCUGGUGUAGUGGUGAAAUGCGUAGAGAUCAGGCAGAACACCUGGGGCGAAGGCGGCCAGCUGGGCCGUCCCUGACGCUGAGGCACGAAGGCCAGGGGAGCAAACGGG
rnacentral:rRNA from 1 species